GAACACCAAACACCUGGGCUUCCGCUCCGUGGACCAGCACCUCCGUCUCGCAUUCACCGAUGUCUACGGCCCCGACGACCAGCUUCCUCUUACCAAGGAGACCGCCGUCUGCAUCCGCGUGCCCGCCCUCUCUCAGGAACUACCCGGCUGCAGGAAGAGGAAGCGCCAGGCAGAGGAUGAAGACGCCGACGACCUCGAUGAGGCGUCAGGAAGCUCCGCCCCUCGGAGUCCGUCUCACCUCGAACGCGAGCGACGCCUCUAUGAACUCUACAGAACCAAAUGUCCGUCGUCGUUACGGGACAGCUCGAGCGGGUUCUACGU